ensembl:snoRNA small nucleolar RNA SNORA28
AAGCAAUACUCUGUAAAAGACAAACAGAACUAUCUGAUGUAUUUGAGCUCGCUCUAGCAAAGAAGUCUAACCUAUUCCAGUGUUGUCUUCCCCACAAAACAAGCUAUCAUAGAGGCUUAAAAGCA